GGGAAAGCACCAACGCACCAGAUUAACGUUUUCUUCAUUCAGUCAUACUACCGCCCUCUGCAGCACCAGACUGCAUCACGCAUGGCAGCUCCGGCGGCGCAGCCGCCGCCAAAGACCGUCCUGCGGGUGGCGGCGAUCUCCGGCUCGCUGCGCAGGGCGUCGGCCAACACCGGCCUCAUCCGCGCCGCCGCGGAGAUCUGCGGGGAGUCCAUCCCGGGCCUGCACAUCGACCACGUCGACAUCUCGGAGCUGCCGCUGCUCAACACCGACCUCGAGGCCGGCGGCCGGUUCCCGCCGGCCGUCGAGGCGUUCCGCGACAAGGUCCGCGCGGCCGAUUGCUUCCUCUUCGCCUCGCCCGAGUACAACUACUCCAUUUCAGGGCCUCUGAAGAACGCGCUGGACUGGGGAUCACGGCCGCCCAACUGCUGGGCCGACCGAGCCGCGGCGAUGCUGAGCGCGUCGGGCGGCUCCGGCGGCAGCCGGUCGCAGUACCACAUCCGGCAGGUCGGGGUGUUUCUUGACAUCCACUUCAUCAACAGGCCGGAGGUCUUCACCAAGGCACACCUGCCCCCGAGAAAGUUCGACGCGGACGGCAACCUCAUCGACUCGGAGACCAAGGAGCAGGUCAGGAAGAUGCUCCUCUCGCUGCAAGCCUUCGCACUCAGGCUCCAGGGUGCAGACUCUGUCUGAACAGGGGAACUGAUGCCUGAAUUUGUUUCUUCAGACGAACGGUGGUGCUCUGCUCGUUAGAUGGACUGAGCAGAUCGUCACAAACUCCAAAUGCGAAAGCCAUAUACUGGUUGAUGCUCCAUGAUAUCUGGAAUAAUUCUUCAUCUGCGACUGAACAUUCCGGUGGCACAGUAAUGCAAAUCUAUUUUUAUUAUCUUGCCCCUUGGUAAUUUUGUUAAGUAACUAUGCCCGCUCAAAAUGGAGCGCCCUCCUUCACUCGCUCCGUGGAGCCCUCUCCUCGCUC
rnacentral:rRNA from 1 species